rnacentral:rRNA from 1 species
UGGCAUGGUUGUCGUCAGCUCGUGUCGUGAGAUGUUGGGUUAAGUCCCGCAACGAGCGCAACCCUCGACCUUAGUUGCCAGCAUUCAGUUGGGCACUCUAAGGUGACUGCCGGCUAAAAGUCGGAGGAAGGUGGGGAUGACGUCAAAUCAUCAUGCCCCUUAUGACCUGGGCUACACACGUGCUACAAUGGGCGGUACAAAGGGUCGCGAACCCGCGAGGGGGAGCCAAUCCCAAAAAGCCGCUCUCAGUUCGGAUUGCAGGCUGCAACUCGCCUGCAUGAAGCCGGAAUCGCUAGUAAUCGCGGAUCAGCAUGCCGCGGUGAAUACGUUCCCGGGCCUU